CAGUCGCCGCGGUAAUACGGAGGGGGCUAGCGUUGUUCGGAAUUACUGGGCGUAAAGCGUACGUAGGCGGUUUUGUAAGUUAGAGGUGAAAGCCCGGAGCUCAACUCCGGAAUUGCCUUUAAGACUGCAUCACUUGAAUCGUGGAGAGGUGAGUGGAAUUCCGAGUGUAGAGGUGAAAUUCGUAGAUAUUCGGAAGAACACCUGUGGCGAAGGCGGCUCACUGGACUGAUAUUGACGCUGAGGUGCGAAAGCGUGGGGAGCAAACAGGAUUAGAUACCCCAGUAGUCCCUGUCUCUUAUAC
rnacentral:rRNA from 1 species